rnacentral:RNase_P_RNA from 1 species
CAGGUUGGCCAGGUGCGCGCGCCCGCAAGGGUGAGGAAAGUCCGUACACCAAAGGGCAGGGAGCCAGGUAAUGCCUGGAGGGGCGUAAGCCUCUGGACAGGGCCACAGAAACAAUCCGCACGUAAGUGUAAGGGUGAAAAGGUGGUGUAAGAGACCACCGGUGCCGGCAGUAAUGCCGGCAGCCAGGCAACCCCCUCCCGGUGCAAGGUCAAACAGGAGAGAGAACCGGCCCGGUUCGCUCGAUCUCCGGGUAGACCGCAGGGAGUUUUCGGGUGACUGAAAACCAAGAUAGAUGCGUACCCUAAAGACAGAAUACGGCUUAUCGGCCAGCCUGAGGU